ncrna:unclassified sequences L19-Flavobacteria ribosomal protein leader
UAACCACUGACGAUAACCGUGUAUGUUG